ACCAUUAAUGUCGUUGCCAAGCCAAGAUCGCAGAGAGUGCUGACCUACCACGCUCCGUCUUCGCACAGGGCCCAUACUUUGGGCUAUCUCGGCGUGAAGAGUCGGUCUAUAAGCAGAAACAGGCCGAGAUGGUCUUCGAAGACUGUAAGGUUGAAUAUUUCUUCGUCGUGUGUUCAAUGACCUUGUCGUUGGUCUAAAUUCUUGAGUUGAGUCAGGAUUAUAAGCUGUGGAAGGCCCAGAAAGGAACUGAUUCCAAGCCAAUCUCAUGGAGUCUCUGCAGGUUGAAGACUCAUUGGUGAAAAGAACAGACUAAACCAAUUUUCCUACAAUGGCGAUGCUACGUUUGUUAUGUAAAUAAGCUUAAUCCUUCGACUGGACAAGUUUCAAACUUGAAAAUCAUCUUGUUGCUAACAACCAAUAACCCCCAAGAAAAUAGGUUUCUAUCUACAAAUUCAAAAGUAUUCCAAUAUGCCGCAUGAAAUAAUAAUAACAACAACAAUAAUAAUAAUAAUAAUAAUAAUAAUAAUAAUAAUAACAACAAGAGAAGCGUAGUCAAACCUGUGAUGCCCAUGGGCGCAUCCAGGACAAAGCCACGGUGGUGGGCCCGGAGGAUCCAGACAAAAUUCGUGAAUUGCUCGAUCUCCGCAAGUUGCACAUCUCCUCAAUAGAGAUUCAGAGUCACCACUCCCGCAAUGAAUACAGACAGCGUCCUACAUAGAAGUCAACGGAAUAUGUGCGAUGAGAAUAAUCAAUAUGUAUCUGAGGGCCUAAUGCCAAUGUACAUAGCAGGAACGAUUUCCUCACAAAGCAGGCUGUGUUUUGACCAUCCGUCAACCAAUAGGGCAUUCAAAACCGUCGGACUUGUCAGCUGGGGAUGCAACUAAUCACCAUGGCCUACUUUUUUAAUGCAGCGAAGGGAAGGAACAGGAGAAACGACUCGUCAUCAAAACCAAAAAAACUGAACGUUACGUCUUAUCAUUCACGAU
rnacentral:lncRNA from 1 species